rnacentral:rRNA from 1 species
UACGUAGGGUGCAAGCGUUGUCCGGAAUUAUUGGGCGUAAAGAGCUCGUAGGCGGUUUGUCGCGUCUGCUGUGAAAACUCGGGGCUCAACCCCGAGCUUGCAGUGGGUACGGGCAGACUAGAGUGUGGUAGGGGAGACUGGAAUUCCUGGUGUAGCGGUGAAAUGCGCAGAUAUCAGGAGGAACACCGAUGGCGAAGGCAGGUCUCUGGGCCAUAACUGACGCUGAGAAGCGAAAGCAUGGGGAGCGAACAGG